rnacentral:tRNA from 1 species
GUCCGCUUAGCGCAACUGGUAGAGCAACAGACUCUUAAUCUGUGGGUUGAGGGUUCGAUCCCCUCAGCGGACA